rnacentral:rRNA from 1 species
GNAUUUAUUGGGCGUAAAGCGAGCGCAGGCGGUUAGAUAAGUCUGAAGUUAAAGGCUGUGGCUUAACCAUAGUACGCUUUGGAAACUGUUUAACUNGAGUGCAGAAGGGGAGAGUGGAAUUCCAUGUGUAGCGGUGAAAUGCGUAGAUAUAUGGAGGAACACCGGUGGCGAAAGCGGCUCUCUGGUCUGUAACUGACGCUGAGGCUCGAAAGCGUGGGGAGCGAACAGGAUUAGAUACCCUGGUAGUCCACGCCGUAAACGAUGAGUGCUAGGUGUUAGGCCCUUUCCGGGGCUUAGUGCCGCAGCUAACGCAUUAAGCACUCCGCCUGGGGAGUACGACCGCAAGGUUGAAACUCAAAGGAAUUGACGGGGGCCCGCACAAGCGGUGGAGCAUGUGGUUUAAUUCGAAGCAACGCGAAGAACCUUACCAGGUCUUGACAUCCCGAUGCCCGCUCUAGAGAUAGAGUUUUACUUCGGUACAUCGGUGACAGGUGGUGCAUGGUUGUCGUCAGCUCGCGUCGUGAGAUGUUGGGUUAAGUCCCGCAACGAGCGCAACCCUUAUUGUUAGUUGCCAUCAUUCAGUUGGGCACUCUAGCGAGACUGCCGGUAAUAAACCGGAGGAAGGUGGGGAUGACGUCAAAUCAUCAUGCCCCUUAUGACCUGGGCUACACACGUGCUACAAUGGCUGGUACAACGAGUCGC